UUUAGAAAACUUUAGUUUGAUCAACAAAAACAGAAUCUAAGUCUUUUAAACAUCUUUUAACAAUAAAAUCUCACCACAAACUAUUUAUAAUCAUACCUAAUAUCCCAAAAAUCUGGCAAAAAUCUUUGAUCUCCAAACUCCAAUUCUUUCUUCAAACUUCGUCUUCUAACUCUUCGCCUCCGUUUGGUUCGGGAUUAAGGAAAAAGUAGCUAUUCCAGGGAUAGAGUUAAGUUCAGGGUUAAAGUGGGGUUAAAGUUUUUUUGUGUUUGGUUGGGGGUUGGAGUUAGUAUAGAAUAAUGAAAAAUAGUGUUUGGUUGGGUAGGUGGGAUAAGAAGAUAAUGAUUGAUAAAGAAGGAUAAUGAUUGGUUGGAGUAGGUGUGAUAAGAAAGAUAGUGGGUUAUUAUGAAUAGAAAAUAGUAUUUGGUUGGAGUUUGGUGGGGUUAGGUGGGGUUAGCUAACCCGGGAUAAUUUAUUUGAGGUGGGGUUAGGUGGGGUUAGCUAACCCCACCUAUUUUUUGGGGUGUUUGGGGAUAAAAUGGGGGUUAAGGGGUUAUUCCACCCCUUAACCCCC
rnacentral:lncRNA from 1 species